rnacentral:lncRNA from 1 species
CACUACAUAAUCAUUCAUUAUCUUUACAAUUAACCAUCUAAAGCUACCACAGUUCUUCAAUCAAAGUAUAUAUCUACAUAUAUAGAGAGAGUACACUUCAUAAUUUCGUCCCUUGUCUUCCGUAAACGUAGCACGAAAAUUUGGUACCCAGUAUUGUAAGGCAGGUCGUAGAAGCAGUCUUCCUGCACAUAUUUAAAAAUAAUAACAAGUCAGGAAAAUGAAGUAAAUAGGUCACCAGAGGCACUUAGUGCCAAAAUUAAUACACAAAGACAACAAUGUUGUGUUAUUUUCUUACUAAUCAAAUACAACCCAAGUCCUAUGCCAUUUAAAAUUUAUACUUCUUAACUUCAUGAAAUAUUGGCAUGCUAUAUGUGAUACAAUCCUAGUUAUGAUUACCUACCAACUAGGCUAGGAGAAGAAGUUGCUAGUGCCACUAAAGGACACUGCUUCUACACAAGUACUUCAGCUUUGACAACAUGUAUACGGGAAUUAGCAUAAGCAGCCCCAUAUUUUUGUAACUUUAACUUCCAUAGAAAAGUGUCUUUGGGUGUAUUAUCACCCAAUGCCUGUCAUAUAAUGGAAGAAGAUAAGGAGCCUAAAUGCAACCCACACCAUGAAUAAAAAAAAAUUUAAAUGUAAAUUCGUAUAAAAUGUAGAAUUCUUGCUCUAAAAGAUGAAAUGAGAAGGAAAAUAGAAGAUAAUUAACAAAUUGAUCAAAACACUAAAAACAUUAAAAUCUAAGGACACAUACUAAGUUUCUAGAGGGAAAAAAACACUUGAACUACAAUAUGUAAAUAUAAAUAUAGUAACCAUAAGACUUGUCGAGGUUCCUAGGUGAAGAUAAUUUAGUGAUAGCUUGAAGGUUGAAAUCCAAUUGUGAAGUUGAAAGUUGAAAUCCAAAGCAUUUUUUUAAUCUAAGGCUAAAAUCCAGUAUGAUAUGAAGGUCCCAAAUAUUUGAAUAAAUGAGUCCACUUUAUUGGAGAAAGCUCAACCUUGAUUUAUGCAGUCCUUCAUUAUGCAAAAGUUUCACACCAGCUCUUCGUUACAAAACUAAUCUAUACUUUCAAAAUUCACCCCCAUAAUGAUUUAUAUCAUAAUAGUAGACAUUAGCGCAUGCAAUUAAAAAAUAGAGUUGUUAGGUGGGAGGGGUGUGAUACUCGUUGGUACUGGAUUCAAAGGAUUGGUGCAAAUUAUACAUGUGAAAUACAGUUCUUUUUUUCUGUAAAAAAAUAAUCAGAAGAAGCCUGUCUUACAUAAACGCUUGGCAACAAAUCAAUGAGGUUUCCAAGAAAUUGGCCAAAUCUUUUUUCAGCAGGAGAACCUUUUUUGAUAUUGACCAUUGCUGCCUUCAAUGGAUUACCUGAAUAUAUGAUAAUAAACAAAAGAUGUAUGCUUCAGCCUCGAAGAAAUUAUGUAAAGCAAUAAAACCUUUUUCACAAGAGCAAAAAGACAAAAAGUAUAGAUGGAUAUAACGAUUCAAAAAACUUUUUCAUUCCUUAGGAUGCUAACAAAGGUUCUAUAACAAUUCAACCACAGGUUUUAGUAAAUAUUUUUUGACCAUUAGAAUCCAUAAACAAAUUAAAAACAGUGUUAUAGUCAUCAUUAUUGUGAAUGAAGCAUGAAUUUAUUUUUAUUUGGAUGUUCUAUAUGUUUUGGAUAUUCCUUGGAUAGAAUAGUCAUGUAUCUAAAUUACACAUCUGUUAUUGUAGUGUCUUUAAUCAAAAAAGUCCUCUUGGGACUUUUAACAAACAUGUGGCAUGCAAAGUUUUAUAUUACUAGUUUCAUUGCUAUUGGUUCAUAUCAUCAACCCAUUUUUAUCCUCCUUAUUUCUCCACAGCCCAACCUAUCUCUUCUAAUUUAGUUCUAACCAUAACAACCCCAAUUCUUGGCUUCGCAGUUAUCUGUCUCUCUCUCCUCAGAACUGUGUUGGCCUUGCACUCUCCACGGACCCUCUUUUGAAACUGUUACAUGCCUCAUACUCUUAUCUCUCUAAACCCUACCCUCGCGGAAUCACCUACAUUUCUAAGGUAAAGUACAUUUAGAAAAAGAAUUCCUAUUUGAAAUUCAGCUUACUAGAGUUAGAAAAACUAUUUAUUGCAAAUAAAGAUCCAAAAGAAAAGGCAUACCUGAAUAUAAUAUUGAUCACCACACGGUUUCCCGUCUUCUUCAGAUUUAGAUGAAUAUGACUGAUUUUUCACUCUGUUGAGAAAGCAUCUUCAAAAACAACAAAUAAAAAUAAUAACAAUAACAUGAAACUAACGAAGCCCAAUUUUGUGGCUUAGUUUUUCUUGAUGGUUUCCCUUGAGCAUACUGUAGCGCUCUUGCAUAUCAAGAACGUAAUACAUUUGAGCAAUGAAAAGCAUUAUUGCAAAAACACAACCUAUAAAGUGAAAAGUCUACAUAAUACUUCCAAUAUAAGAGUUAUUCUUUGUUUAUUUACAAUUUCAUUAUUGUUCUUGAAGUAUACUCAAAAUUUAUUAAUACAUUGCGCAAUCAAACUGACAUUACCAGGAUUUAAGAAUUGGUGCCUCCAAUAAAUUGUGUCAAGAUGUUAAGUACUUCCUCACUUAGUCCAUGCUCCUCAACAAUUAUCCUACAAGAUUCAGCAAAAAUACAUACAAUUUUUGCACAGCUUCCUAUAAAUUUAUGAAUGAAAAGUACAGAAAACUACAAGUACAGUCAUAAGAACUGAACUAUAGAGGUGUUUUCUGGCCAUGUUGUCACCCACUCUGCCAAUUCAC